rfam:Acidibacillus ferrooxidans strain ITV001 contig0062, whole genome shotgun sequence.
GGAUAAGGUAGGAAGGGCGCACGGGGGAUGCCUAGGCGCCAGGUGCCGAAGAAGGACGGGGCGAACACCGAAAUGCCUUGGGGAGCCGUACGCAGGCAUGGAUCCAAGGGUCUCCGAAUGGGGGAACCUCUCUUUCGUGAUGGGAAGAGACCCGUCGCUGAAUGCAUAGGCGGCGAGGAGGGCACCGGGGGAACUGAAACAUCUCAGUACCCCGAGGAAGAGAAAACAACAGUGAUUCCCUGAGUAGCGGCGAGCGAACGGGGAAGAGCCUAAACGGUAUGCGUGUAAGCCUGUCCGCGUUGCGCAUAGCGGGUCGUGGGGCAUAAGAGAAAGACAGGACAGCGUCUUUCAGUGGAAGAACACGUUAGAGGAACGGCAUGGGAAGGCCGGCCAGAGAGGGUGAGAGCCCCGUAGUCGAAAGCGUGUUUGAAAGCUGUGUUAUGACCCCGAGUAGGGCGGGACACGAGGAAUCCCGUUUGAAUCUGGGAGGACCACCUCCUAAGGCUAAAUACAACCUGGCGACCGAUAGUGAAGAAGUACCGUGAGGGAAAGGUGAAAAGCACCGCGGGAGCGGAGUGAAAGAGAACCUGAAACCGUGUGCCUACAAGCAGUUGGAGCAUCCCUAGAGAUGUGACAGCGUGCCUUUUGUAGAAUGAACCGGCGAGUGUCGAUGUCAAGCGAGGUUAAGGGAGAGAUCCUGGAGCCGAAGCGAAAGCGCGUCUGAAGAGGGCGAGAGUUUGACGACGACGACCCGAAACCGUGUGAUCUACCCCUGGCCAGGGUGAAGUGGCGGUAACACGCUAUGGAGGCCCGAACCCACUGACGUUGAAAAGUCAGGGGAUGAGCUGGGGGUAGGGGAGAAAUUCCAAUCGAACACGGAGAUAGCUGGUUCUCCCCGAAAUAGCUUUAGGGCUAGCGUUGCGCGACGUACGAUGGAGGUAGAGCACGGAUUGGGCUAGGGGCCUGCAAAGGUUACUGAACCCAGUCAAACUCCGAAUGCCAUUGGAAUAGGCGCAGCAGUCAGACUGCGAGUGCUAAGAUCCGUAGUCAAAAGGGAAACAGCCCAGAUCAACAGCUAAGGCCCCCAAGUGUCCGUUAAGUGGGAAACGAUGUGGCGGUGCAGAGACAACCAGGAUGUUGGCUUAGAAGCAGCCACCAUUGAAAGAGUGCGUAAUAGCUCACUGGUCGAGUGACGCUGCGCGGAAAAUGUAACGGGGCUAAACGGACCGCCGAAGCUUUGGGUGAACACAUCUCGCGAUGGGUUCGCGGUAGGGGAGCGUUCCCAGGGCGGGGAAGCUGAACUGGAAGGUUUGGUGGAGCGCUGGGAAGUGAGAAUGCCGGUAUGAGUAGCGAAAAGACAAGUGAGAAUCUUGUCCGCCGAAAGCCUAAGGGUUCCUGGGGAAGGCUCGUCCACCCAGGGUAAGUCGGGACCUAAGCGGAGGCCGAAGGGCGUACGCGAAGGGCAACGGGUAGAGAUUCCCGUACCACCGAGAUGCGUUUGACCGAAGGGGGACGCAGGAGGAACAGGGGAGCGGCCGGAUGGAAGAGGCCGUCCAAGCACCGAGGGGGUCACGCAGGAAAAACCGCGUGGCAGACCUUGAGGUGUGAUGGGGAGCGAAGCAAAGUAGCGAAGCCCUGGGUUUCACACUGCCAAGAAAAGCCUCUAGGGAGUGUCAAGGUGCCCGUACCGCAAACCGACACAGGUAGGCGAGGAGAGAAUCCUCAGGCGCGCGGGAGAACUCUCGUUAAGGAACUCUGCAAAAUGGCCCCGUAACUUCGGGAGAAGGGGCGCUCUGAGAAGAGCCGCAGUGAAAAGGCCCAAGCGACUGUUUAGCAAAAACACAGGUCUCUGCAAAGCCGAAAGGCGAGGUAUAGGGCUGACGCCUGCCCGGUGCUGGAAGGUUAAGAGGAGGGGUAAGUCCGAAAGGGCGAAGCUCUGAAUUGAAGCCCCAGUAAACGGCGGCCGUAACUAUAACGGUCCUAAGGUAGCGAAAUUCCUUGUCAGGUAAGUUCUGACCCGCACGAAUGGCGUAACGACUUGGGCGCUGUCUCAACGAGAGACCCGGUGAAAUUGUAAUACCUGUGAAGAUGCAGGUUACCCGCGGCUAGACGGAAAGACCCCGUGGAGCUUGACUGCAGCUUGAUAUGGAGGAAGGGUACGUCAUGUACAGGAUAGGUGGGAGACGAGGAAGCAGAGGCGCAAGCCUGUGUGGAGUCGACGUUGGGAUACCACCCUUGAGGUACUUUUCUUCUCACUUGGCGCCCUGAAGCGGGCGUGAGGACAGUGUCAGGUGGGCAGUUUGACUGGGGCGGUCGCCUCCUAAAAGGUAACGGAGGCGCCCAAGGGUUCCCUCAGCGCGGUUGGAAAUCGCGCGUGGAGUGUAAAGGCACAAGGGAGCUUGACUGCGAGACGUACAGGUCGAGCAGGGACGAAAGUCGGGCUUAGUGAUCCGGCGGCACUGCGUGGAAGGGCCGUCGCUCAACGGAUAAAAGCUACCCCGGGGAUAACAGGCUGAUCUCCCCCAAGAGUCCACAUCGACGGGGAGGUUUGGCACCUCGAUGUCGGCUCAUCGCAUCCUGGGGCUGAAGUCGGUCCCAAGGGUUGGGCUGUUCGCCCAUUAAAGCGGUACGCGAGCUGGGUUCAGAACGUCGUGAGACAGUUCGGUCCCUAUCUGCCGUGGGCGUAGGAGUUGUGAGAGGGGUCGUCCUUAGUACGAGAGGACCGGGAUGAACCGACCGCUGGUGUUCCAGUUGUGCCGCCAGGUGCAGCGCUGGGUAGCUACGUCGGGACGGGAUAAGCGCUGAAAGCAUCUAAGCGCGAAGCCCCCUCAAGAUGACAACUCCCGCUCGAAAGAGGUAAGACCCCUUGAAGACGACAAGGUAGAUCGGUCCGGUGUGGAAGCACGGUAUGUAUUGAGUAUAGUAUUGUAAUUGUAUAGUAUGUAAGUUUG